rnacentral:rRNA from 1 species
UACGGAGGGUGCAAGCGUUAAUCGGAAUUACUGGGCGUAAAGCGUGCGUAGGCGGUUAAUUAAGUCAGAUGUGAAAGCCCUGGGCUUAACCUAGGAAUUGCAUUUGAUACUGGUUAGCUAGAGUAUGGUAGAGGAAAGUAGAAUUUCUGGUGUAGCGGUGAAAUGCGUAGAUAUCAGAAAGAAUACCAAUGGCGAAGGCAGCUUUCUGGACCAAUACUGACGCUGAGGCACGAAAGCGUGGGGAGCAAACAGG